GGAAAAAUGAGGAACAGACAAGUUAAAGCAGGGGUCCCCAACCCCAGGGCUGCAGACCAGUACCUGUCUGUGGCCUGUUAGGAACUGGGCAGCACAGCACGAGCAUGGGACAUUCAGAACUGGGAAGGACUUAAUACAGACUCAUGAAAGUUCUUUAAUCUUAUCAAGACUAUACUGUUGCCAUCUGUGAUACUGAUAACUAGCCUAUAAUGAGUGCCUGCUACGUGCCAGGCACUGCGCUAAGAAUUUUGCACACAUGAUUGAUAAUCACUACAUUAAUAACAAGGUAAGUUGACCACCUUUAACAGAUGAGACAACUAGGCUGAAAAAGGAGAUUAAGUAACAUUCCUGAGGUUACACAGCUAGUAAGUGAUAAAACCUGGAUUUAACUUCAAGUUUGUCUGACUCUAAAUCCUAGACCCUUCUCAAUAAAUAAAGUUUGUCUUUCGGCUGGGUGCGGUGGCUUACGCCUGUAAUCCCAGCACUUUGGGAGGCUGAGGCGGGCGGAUCACUUGAGGUCAGGAGUUUGAGAACAGCUUGGCCAACAUGGCGAAACCCCAUCUGUACUAAAAAUACAAAAAUUAGCUGGGUGUGGUGGUGCACACCUGUAGUCCCAGC
rnacentral:lncRNA from 1 species